UACGGCUCAGUAACACGUGGCUAACCUACCCUUGAGACGGAGACAACCCCGGGAAACUGGGGCUAAUCCCAGAUAGAUGAGAACUCCUGGAACGGGUUCUCGUCCAAAAGGCGUCUAGGCCAUGCUUCUAGAUGUUGCUCAAGGAUGGGGCCGCGGCCGAUCAGGCUGUUGGUGAGGCAACGGCUCACCAAACCUAUAACCGGUACGGGCCGUGGGAGCGGGAGCCCGGAGAUGGGAACUGAGACAAGGUCCCAGGCCCUACGGGGCGCAGCCGUUGCGAAAACUUGUCAAUGCACGAAAGUGUGAACGGGCUACCCCGAGUGCCGUCCGCUGAGGAUGGCUUUUCCCUGCUGUUAGAAGGCGGGGGAAUAAGGAGAGGGCAAGUCUGGUGUCAGCCGCCGCGGUAAUACCAGCUCUCCGAGUGGUGGGGAUGUUUAUUGGGCUUAAAGCGUCCGUAGCCUGCCUUUCAAGUCUCUCGUUAAAUCCGGCGAUUCAAUCGUUGGACUGCGGGAGAUACUGUUAGGCUAGGGGGCGGGAGAAGCCGACGGUAUUUCCGGGGUAGGGGUAAAGUCCUAUAAUCCCGGGAGGACCACCAGUGGCGUAGGCGGUCGGCUAGCACGCGCUCGACGGUGAGGGACGAAAGCUGGGGGAGCAAACCGGAUUAGAUACCCGGAUAGUCCCAGCUGUAAACGAUGCGGGCUAGGUGUUUGGGGUGGCCACGAGCCACUUCAGUGCCGCAGGGAAGCCAUUAAGCCCGCCGCCUGGGGAGUACGGCCGCAAGGCUGAAACUUAAAGGAAUUGGCGGGGGAGCACCACAAGGGUGAAGCUUGCGGUUCAAUUGGAGUCAACGCCGGGAAUCGUCACUUG
rnacentral:rRNA from 1 species